UACGAAGGGUGCAAACGUUGCUCGGAAUUAUUGGGCGUAAAGCGCACGUAGGCGGCAUUGCAAGUCGGAUGUGAAGUCCCUCGGCUUAACCAAGGAAGUGCAUCCGAAACUGCAGUGCUUGAGUACUUAAGAGGAUCGCGGAAUUCCCGGUGUAGCGGUGAAAUGCGCAGAUAUCGGGAAGAACACCCGUGGCGAAGGCGGUUCUCUGGGAAUAUCCUGACGCUGAGGAGCGAAAGUGUGGGGAGCGAACAGG
rnacentral:rRNA from 1 species